AGGAUAAAUCAGGUGUCCAGAACGUGAGGACUCUCAGGCCCCACGGUGUGGCCGCUGUUCCGGCCGUCGCAGCCGUUGUUCCGUCACCCUUGAGCCGCGGCGUGUGGGUCUCCGGGCCUCCAGCGCUGACACGUGCUGCGUCUUGGCGGCCGUUGCAGGCGAAGACUUGUGACCCGGAGCGCAGACAGAAGUGCUUCGUGAAGACAGUCUGACGGGCUGGAAGGUUAGCCCUGCUGCCUGACAGUAACAGAGCUCCAUCCCGAGAGGAGAGCAAGCGUGUGCAAACCUUUCACUGAGCAUUUACUGAGCACCUCCUGUGCACCAGGGCCCAGGAAGCACUGUGGACACUCUGAUGCUCGGGACAUAUGUGGGCCCUACCCUUGACGGCGCACUAUCUGGACUGUUCCAGAAACAGCAGGCAGAUUCUUUACCAUCUGAACCACCAGGAAGCCCAGCAGUGGUAUUAGUACUUCGUCAUCGUCGUCAUCAUUCAGCCCUGAGUCUUCAGGAUCCACGCGGACCUGAGCAGGCGCCCUGUGAUUCUGCGCAGGGUCACAGUGACAGCCAACGUCCUUGAGGGGAAUGGGAGGCUGGGGCCUGAAGGGCUGAGGGAGCCGGCUGUGAGCCCGCGUCGGUCCCCACCUUGCUCUGUGAUCCUGGCAAGGCCAGCGCCCUCUCUGGACCUCCGUCUGCCCCUUGUUCACAGGCAGACGUGCACAAAGGCCCUCCCAGCUCUGCGGCUCUGUGACCAGACUUGUUAAGGGCACCUGCUGUGGGCCCAGCCCAAGGCCAGGUGCUUGGUGAGGAUUUGAUAUCAGAAGUGGAAGGGGCUUGGGACCCCUGGGCCUCCCAGUCCUUUGGAGGGGUGCCUGUUAUCUGAGAAGGAGGGAUUGGGUCUUGCUGGUUAUUUGGUUCCCCCGUGUACACCCUUCCACCCCCAGCAGCCUGAGGUCCAUGCUCUUUCCCUGCUCUGCAAAGCUCCAGCCUUUUGGGACCAAGCCAGCCCUUUCUCUUCCUUUCACGCUCAGGUCAGCGCCACCUCCUCCAGGAAGUCUUCCUUGAUUCAGGACUGAGUUAGUUGCCUUCCUGGGCCACGCUCCGGGCCUCCUCUCAUAAGAUGACAGCCCACCCCGACUGGGCAACCUAACCAACGAGCAACCAACUUGUUGGCAAGUAACCAACACCCUUGAGCCUCCGUUUGGUCAACUGUUACGUGGGGACGUUCAGUGCCAUCUCAAAGAUGAAAACAACCAUGGACGCAGAACCAAGCAGGCCCUCGCAGAGGCUCUCAGUGCGCGAGAGCCCUUCGCUUCGCUGAUCUACAACCUUCCGUCCUUCCGACCUCGCUGAGGCCCGGCGCAGGGCGGGGCGUCCUGGACGCCUUUGCACUGGCUGUCCUGUCCUUCCAGCAAACUGAAAGCAGGUCUCUGCUCGGAGCUCUGCCAGGUGACAGAGCCUAGCGGAAAUCAUCAGCGCAAAACUGUAUUCUGUCUUGAUUGCA